GAUGAACGCUGGCGGCGCGCCUAACACAUGCAAGUCGAGGGGCAGCGCUGGGGAUGCUUGCAUUCCCUGGCGGCGACCGGCGGAUGGGUGAGUAACGCGUAUCCAACCUGCCCCUGGUCCCGGGGACAGCCCUUAGAAAUGAGGACUUAACCCCCGAUGGUGUGGAUUUGCCGCAUGGUGUUUCCACUAAAUGUGAAGGACAGGGAUGGGGAUGCGUUCCAUUAGGUUGCAGGCGGGGUAACGGCCCGCCUGGCCGACGAUGGAUAGGGGUUCUGAGAGGAAGGUCCCCCACACUGGUACUGAGACACGGACCAGACUCC
rnacentral:rRNA from 1 species